rnacentral:sRNA from 1 species
UUUUUUUUUGGUUAUCAAAUCAAUUUUUUUAAGGGUGAAUUAGCUGUGUAGCCAUAUUUGGAACAAAAAUAAAGAAUACUAGAUUUUAAUCUGCGGUACACCGCGAGAACAAUUUAUUUUUUAAAAUUAGUAUACAUAAAAGUUUGCAAAUUGUAUCUAUCUAUAAAAUAUUUUUAUUUUAUAGUUUACAAUUGUUAUUAAGUAACGUUCUGCCAAACCCGUCCCAUAAAAAAAUCAUUUAUUUUAUUAAUGUUAAUCUUAUUUAUGAUAUGUUUAUGAAUUAUUGUCUAAAUAUUUUGUAAUUUUGUAGUAAUUAAAUGUUAUCAAAUAUCUUUGCGGUUUGAUGAUUAUAAUUGAAUUGUUAUAGUCAUGGAGAAAAGGAAUAUCAAAAAUGAUAAUUUUGUAGUAAUUAAAUGAUAAUUAAAUAUUUUGUAAGUUUUAUUUUAGUAACUAAUCGUGUAGUUAAUGUGGAGAGAUUUAGGGUAGAUUGUUAAAUGUCAAAUAUUUAAUUGAAAGAUUUUUUUUCUAAUUAUCAAAAACAAACAUUAAAAUCCAGUGGCAGCCAUUGUAAAUAAGUCUCAACUACAGGAUUUAUUUCGCAAAAUGGCUUCAAAAGUGUAUAUGUAGAUAGCCAUAUAAUUUAGAUAACUGAGCAAGUAACCAAAAACCCUAAAUAAUUACAAGUCUAUCCCUGCAUUAUUUCCUUAUUUUCCAAUUUGCCAUAACUCUGAAACGCAUAGCCGCAUAGGUG